UUUAAAAAUUUUAAGUUGUUUUUGAAAUUUUCUUUUUUAGAAUAGCUUAGUAAAUUAUUUUUGAUUAAUCUACCAAGUUUCAUAAUUUUUGGAGUUGAUUUGAUCAUGAUUUGGGGUUUUGGAGUGGCUCACAGUGAAAAAUAAAUAAAAAAGAGCACAAAACUGUUGUAGGAUUAGUCACUUGAUUUUUCAAUUUUGGGCUCAAUAGCCACUAAGUGCAGACCACACUUGGUGUUUAUUUCAAAUGGCACAUCUCAGUUUUCUAAGCAAAUGCAACAUGGUUCAAGGACAAUUUUUGUGGGGAAUGCUUGUAUAUGAAAUAUGACGAACAUGUGCUGGAAGCUAAAAGAAUCCGAAUUGGUUUCUGUUUGUCAAGAAAUUUGCUACUGAAGUUGUGCCGAUACUUGUUGACAUUAAAAGGGCCUCUGGUUCAUCCAAAAUGGUUCAAGGAAGAGCAAACACAUGGAAAACUCUCAUUGACACUUUUUUUUCAGGGAGUCCCUCUUACUUUGCUCUUAUUGAUAGUUGCAUUGGGACAUUGCAACAUUUUAGUUGGGGGAGGAGCUUAAAUGUUGAAUGAUAUUCAUGUGAGUGUGAAAUGAUAUACUUUGACGGAUUUGGUAGAUUGACUUUUUGUUUUGAUAUUUUUUAUUGUGAUUCUGACAUGUUUAUAUUAGUAUGAUAGGCUAGUUUUUGUUUGUUUGUGUAUGCCCAUGUGUUGUCAUGUAUUAGCAAUAUCCCUAGCUUUCUUUGCCGUGGUUCUUUUCCUGAGGAUGCUAAUGUCUUUUGAACCCGAUGUUUUUAGGUAGUUUUGAGUCGGCUUGUCCCUAUGAUAGAUAGUUGGGCACUUUCUUAAGGGAAAUAAGCCUUGUAGGUUAGGUGCGGAAGUGAGUUUUAGGAGUAAAAAUGGUGUUGGGAUGUGAUUUUUUGCCUCUUGGCUAAUUUUUGGCUUGCUUGGUACCAACUUAUUUAAACCUUGGCAUAUGAAUUCUUGAUUCUUGAAAAAAAAAAUGAUUGAAGUAAGGUUUCUUGUUGUGACUUUUAGAUUCAAUUUUUGGCUCUUGCUUUCACUAAUUAGUCUCUUUAGGCUAUGAGUGACUUUUUGAGUUCAUUUGUUUCAAUUGGUUCUUGGAUACAUAUUCUACUUGAGUUUUCAUGUGUCAUGUGUGAUGAGGUUUAUUUGUGAGUUCUUUUGCAUUAUUUGUGGUCUAGAACUUGCCCGGAAUGAGUUUCAAGGCGAAAUCCUAGACUACACUUGGUUUGAAAAAUGAUGUUAGGCCUUCCUUGAACCGCUUUUGUGCCUUAAAUAUCCUACCCUUGCAUAUUUUCCCUAGUCAACCCCUUUUGAGCCUUUAACCUUUUCUUUGACAACCAUGUUACAAGCUUUACGCCGUUCUUCAUUGAUCCAUCUUUUGGUACCCUACCUCCUUAAGUGCGUUGAAAGUGCAAACAUAGGCUAAAAGCCUAAGUUUGGGGGUGAUGGUUGGAAAAAGUUGUUAUGUGGGAGUUACUUUAAAGGUGAAAAGGUGAAAAAAAAUAUAGUAGUAGAAUAAAAAAAUAAAAAAAUAAAAAGAGGAAAAGGAAGGAAUAAUAAAGAGUUAUGAAUAAAGGGAAGACUAGUUGGUGAAGUGAAAAGAUGAAGAAAAUGGUGGAAAAGUUUUAAAGGAAGUGUGCUUUGAUUGUUGAAAUUGUAGUGCUUAGGGAGGUUUUUGAGACGCUAUUUCCAAAUUAUGUCCUACCUUAACCAAAAGCCUACAUUACAACCCUUUAAGUCCUAAUUGAUUUUGAACCAAAUGUGUCUACAUUAGUGGAGAAAUACAUGAAGGGCAAGCCUAUGGUACUACUUGUAUGCGUUUGAACAUCAUUGUGAAAGAGAGAGAGUUAAUUCUUUCUAUUCGAUGUACCAUUUGUGUUUUGAAUUACAUUUUCUAAGUGUGGGAUUCUCUCUUGAGUGUGAAGGCACAUGAGAAGUUAAGUUGUGAAUUUGUUCCAUUUUUCAAUUGAGAGGAAUGAACAAAAGAAAGUUGUUUUGUGAUAAUGAGGCAAAUUUUGAAGCUUUAGUGUCGUGACUUGAUUGCUAGUUUGAUUAGUUUGGUAUUUGAACACUUGAAAAAAAAAGUUUUUGAGAAGUUGGUGAUUCAUAUGUUUUUUGGAUUAAUUGUUGGUACUAAUCAAAGUCAUGUGUUUGUGCUUAAAGUAGACUUUUUGACUUGGUGUGAUGUUGGUGCACUAUAGAGUUGAUUUCUUGGAAGGAGAUUGUAUAUUUUGAAUUGCUUGAGGACAAGCAAUAGUUUAAGUUUGGGGGUUUGAUAAGUUAGUAUUUUACUAACUUGUCUCUUCUUUAAUCUUAGAUUUUUGCUAUGCUUGAUUGAGAAAAUAGUGCAUUUAAUGUCGUUUACUUCCAUUUUGUAGGUUUUAUGUGAUUUAGAAGUGAUCGAGAAGAAAUCAAUUGAAAACAAGUCAAAAAGAGGGCAAAUUGAAGAAAACAAGAAAAGUGGCUAAAUUUGCAAAAACGGCCAGAUUUGCAAUUUCGAAAAUCUGAAACUUUGGGGGCUGUUUUUGUCCUUUUUUUUUUAGUUGGGAAAUUUGGGAAUUAUAAAAGUGAAGUUUGGGGCAAAAUAUUAUCAUCUUUGGCCAUCUUCCAAGCUUAGAGCAAGAAACUACACUAGGGUUUGAAGAUUUGGAGGCACACAAUGAGAAAUUCUUUACUCAUUUCUUCAUCUCUUGCUAUUUAUUGAAUAUUUAUGUGUGCAGUAUUUCAUUUCAAUACUUGAACCUUGUUUAUGAAAGUAUACAUUGUUUAAGUUUGGAUUGAAUCUCUUAUUUUGCUUAUGUGUUGAAUGAUUUUAUAAUUAAUAGAAGUGAGUUAAUGUUGUUUUAA